CCUCCAGGCAGGGCUGGCUGCUGCCCUCAUCACCCCCCAAGCAGGCAGUACAGGCCCCAGGGCCCAGGUGCCGUGGUUACUGGGAGGAAGAGGCCAUCUGGGUGGAGAUGAAGGUCUCGAUGACGCUGUGGUUGGAUGGCAGCAGGUGGCUCUGGCCAUUGCUGGAGUCUGAGCUCUGGUACAGCACCAGGCUGCUGGAGGACACUGCAGAGGCAAACAAGGCUGCUAGCCACCCACCAGGCACCCACACCCACCCCACCUGCCUGUCCCUAGGGGUACUCAGGAUGGGGAGGCAGGGCCACACCUCCUGGAUCACAGCAGAUAACAGGAACCCCAAAGUCACACCUCUACCCUCGGUUCUUCAAAGGGAGCCUCCCAGCCAGGGUCCACGGCCGCCCAUGGAGUGGCCUGAGUACAUCUUAGUGUGAACACUGGAGAAGCCCCGGUGAGAUGCCGAGGUAGGUAGUUGUACGUGUUGGCUUGGCUAGGCUGAGUCAAACACUAAUCUAGGCGCUGCUGUGAAUGCAGGUGCUUUGUAGAUGUGGUUAAUGCCACAAUCAGUUGGCUUUGAGUGAAGGAGAUUACCCUGAAAAUAUGGGUGGGCCUCCUACAUCAGUGGAAGGCCGUAAGAGCAAAAACCGGUUUCCCAGAGAAGGAAUUCUGCCUCAAGGCUGCAGAAUUCACUCCCCAGAGCUGCCAGCAACAGAUUUCAGGCCUGCCAGCCCCCCGCAGACACGGGCCAAGUCCUUCAAAUAAAUCUGUUGGUUCUGUGUUCCUGGAGAA
rnacentral:lncRNA from 1 species